rnacentral:rRNA from 1 species
AGCAUAGCGAUUUGGGAUAAGUCCCUUGGAAGAGGGCAGCAUGGAGGGUGAUACUCCCGUCUCUGCUCAGGUUGUCUGUGUGUACGAUACGCUUUCUUUGAGUCGAGUUGUUUGGGAAUACAGCUCAAAGUAGGUGGUAAAUACCAUCUAAAGCUAAAUAUUGAUGCGAGACCGAUAGCGAACAAGUACCGUGAGGGAAAGAUGAAAAGAACUUUGAAAAGAGAGUUAAAGAGUACCUGAAACUGUUGAAAGGGAGCCGUAUCGUUUCUAGUGUGUAUCCUAUGCAUAUUUCAUUGGCGGUUGCAAAAUUGCUGGUGCCCUGUGUAUGGGUGUGACGUCAGAGUCAGUUUGAAUUGCGGGAGAUGGGUAGUGAGGAGGUGCGUCACUUUUGUGAAAGUUACAGCUCGCCAUCUAGUAGCCGUGGUUGAGACUGAGGUGCA